rnacentral:rRNA from 1 species
GACGAACGCUGGCGGCGUGCCUAAUACAUGCAAGUUGAGCGCUGAAGGUUGGUACUUGUACCAACUGGAUGAGCAGCGAACGGGUGAGUAACGCGUGGGGAAUCUGCCUUUGAGCGGGGGACAACAUUUGGAAACGAAUGCUAAUACCGCAUAAAAACUUUAAACACAAGUUUUAAGUUUGAAAGAUGCAAUUGCAUCACUCAAAGAUGAUCCCGCGUUGUAUUAGCUAGUUGGUGAGGUAAAGGCUCACCAAGGCGAUGAUACAUAGCCGACCUGAGAGGGUGGUCGGCCACAUUGGGACUGAGACACGGCCCAAACUCCUACGGGAGGCAGCAGCAGGGAAUCUUCGGCAAUGGACGAAAGUCUGACCGAGCAACGCCGCGUGAGUGAAGAAGGUUUUCGGAUCGUAAAACUCUGUUGGUAGAGAAGAACGUUGGUGAGAGUGGAAAGCUCAUCAAGUGACGGUAACUACCCAGAAAGGGACGGCUAACUACGUG